AAAAAUCAGAUUUUUUGGCCUCACCCAACCCAAACCCUAAUCUCCUCUCCUCUCUCUCUCUCUCCACUCCUCUCUGCUGCCGCGGAAGUCGCCACCGACGGCGUCCAACCUCCAAACAGCCCCAAAAUUUCACCAUGUAACCUCCAAAACCUCCUCUUUUCAUAUCUUCAAACUAAAUCCUUCGAAAACCCCUCAAACUCUACGAAUUUCAGAUCUAGGAAACCCUAGCAGCCACCCUUUUGCUCAAAUUCGUGAAGCUCCGGUCACCUUCGCCCCAUUACACAUACAUGAACGGAUUUAGCUCCACGAUACCUACCAUUUCCCCUUGCUCUUCACCAAAACGCCAUCCGAAUCCCGGUGACCACCGCCCGCCGCCACCACUGCCGCUGCUCACUUUUCUUUUCCUUCUUAUUUUCUUCUUCCCUUCUGCCCCUCUUGCCUAGACACAACUCAAGCGAGCUUUUCACGCUCGCACGAUACCGAGAUAGAAACUCGUUCUCCGGACCUUUAGUUUUGGUAUCUGCCAAUAUGAAAAGUUUGCUUCGUGGUCGAUUUGUCGUUGCCCGUUAUCCCCGACACAUCCUCGCUGCUCGAGUUAGCAUCGAAUCCCCUAUUUUGGUAAAUUCCAUUUUUCCCUUUUCCAUUUCUGUUUUUUGCUUCCGUAAUUAGGUUUGGUUUGGUUUAGUUUUUUAUUUCUUAUUAGUAGCUAAUCUAUUGCUCAUUUCGAUUGUUAUUAUAGUUCUUAGUUUAAGUCAUAGUUGUUUAAUAAAAUAGUUAGUUUGUAUGUGAUAUGCUAAGCACAUGGUUUCAAUUAGUUAGUUUGGAUAAUAUACUUGUUUUUAUUUGAUUCUGAGUUUCUCUUAGUUGAUUUAUAGUUCAAUUUCUAAGUCUAGUUAUGUGUUUUUCUAUCUUAGUUUGGUUUGAAUCACAUAGGUUGGUACUAAUAUUGUAAAAGCUGAAGUUUAGAUUAUUUUAUUAUAAAAUAGGGUACUAGUAGCCUACGUUUUACUAGUUGGGUGGCUGAAAUUAUAUUUUUUCUCCUUGCUUCUGCGAUAGCAGAUUUUUAGGUUGUCCUUUCACCUUUUGGACAGCCUUUGAACAAUGUUUAGCACACAAAGUCAGCCCUUUUGGACAGGCUUUUGGUGAACAAAAAUCUGUCCAAAAAGUGACUUUAUUUGCCUAUUUAAGGGGAUGCUCUUUCCUCACUUCAGAAACUGGAAUGACUCCAACUGAAAACACAAAAAACUUGAGAGAAAAAGAUGGCUGAACAUAUAACAACAAAGCUAAAGAACAGAGAGUUUCUUUGGAGGGAUAAACUUUGAGAGCAAAAAUCCUCUAAAAAAUUGAGAGUCUUUCAAGGUUCUUUGGUUUUCUUUUGAGAUUCUUGUCUAUUCAACUGUGGCUGGUUUAUUCCUGGGUCAUUAUCGAGGUUUCAGGUUGUUGAGUUGUUGUUCGUUCUUGCUGGGAGUGCUGUCCAUUUUUCCUUUUCAAGCAAGUUUUUUCACUGCUUCCAGUUUCUGCAUUUAGGUACUCUUCUUAUUUUUCUUUCUUAAUGUAAUUUGAUUUGGCUUGGAAUGAAGGCAUGAAGGUGUUGAUGUGCUAUAACUGUGUCAUUACGUUGUGUGAUUUCUGCCCACAAGAGGAGUGAAUAAAUGUUUAACUUCACGGGCUAGAGUUCCACUCGUUAUUUUAGAUUAUCGAACUGUCGUGAUCCAUUCUUAGUGGUUAUAAUACAUGAAUGAUUUGAGUUAUUGUAGUAUGUGACGAAAGAAGUAGAAAAAUAUAGUUUUAAGUUCAUACCUGUCAAUUUUUAGUGUAGUUGCAACAGUCCCUAUUAAGAAAAAGAAUUAGUUUUACUUCACUAAAAGUUCUUGUAAUAAUCUGUCACAUUGAAGUUUACUUAAAUAUUUCCUUCACGUAUUGUCAUUGUCCUUUGCUGAGAUUCAUAGCUACAUGAUUUCAUGGAAGUUGGUGAUACAUUCUAAUACAAUCCUUGUUUAGCUUUUUUCUACUUUAAAUUUCUUUAAUAUGAUUAAUAUAAAACUGUUGCAUUUUUAUGCAAUUUUCAUUCA
rnacentral:lncRNA from 1 species